rnacentral:rRNA from 1 species
AGAUAGAAGUUUUGAUUCCUGGCUUCAGGACGAACGCUGGCGGCGUGCUUAACACAUGCAAGUCGAACGAUGAAGCUGAAGCUUUUGUUUUGGUGGAUUAGUGGCGAAACGGGUGAGUAAUACGUGAGUAACCUGCCCUUUGUCUUUGGGAUAAGCCUGGGAAACUGGGUCUAAUACCCGGAUAUUCUGCUUCUGCCGCAUGGUGGGGGUUGGAAAGAAUUUUUGGAUGGGGAUGGGCUCACGGCCUAUCAGCUUGUUGGUGGGGUGAUGGCCUACCAAGGCGUCGACGGGUAGCCGGCCUGAGAGGGUGACCGGCCACAUUGGGACUGAGAUACGGCCCAGACUCCUACGGGAGGCAGCAGUGGGGAAUAUUGCACAAUGGACGCAAGUCUGAUGCAGCGACGCCGCGUGGGGGAUGAAGGCUUUCGGGUUGUAAACUCCUUUCAGUACAGAACAAGGCCUUUGUGGUUGAGGGUAUGUGCAGAAGAAGCGCCGGCUAACUACGUGCCAGCAGCCGCGGUAAUACGUAGGGCGCGAGCGUUGUCCGGAAUUAUUGGGCGUAAAGAGCUCGUAGGCGGUUUGUUGCGCCUGCUGUGAAAGACCGGGGCUUAACUUCGGGGUUGCAGUGGGUACGGGCAGACUAGAGUGUGGUAGGGGUAAUUGGAAUUCCUGGUGUAGCGGUGGAAUGCGCAGAUAUCAGGAGGAACACCGAUGGCGAAGGCAGGUUACUGGGCCAUUACUGACGCUGAGGAGCGAAAGUGUGAGUAGCGAACAGGAUUAGAUACCCUGGUAGUCCACGCCG